rnacentral:rRNA from 1 species
AACGCGAAGAACCUUACCUGGGCUUGACAUGCUUGGAUUAUCCCUAUGAAAGUAGGGUAGGCCCUUCGGGGUACAACAAGUACAGGUGCUGCAUGGCUGUCGUCAGCUCGUGUCGUGAGAUGUCGGGUUAAGUCCCUUAACGAGCGAAACCUUUGCCCUUAGUUACUAACGGGUUAUGCCGAGGACUCUAAGGGGACUGCCGGUGUCAAACCGGAGGAAGGUGGAGAUGACGUCAAGUCCUCAUGGCCUUUAUGCCCAGGGCCACACACGUGCUACAAUGGGGUGCACAGAGCGAACCGAGAGCGCAAGCUGGAGGAAAUCGCAUAAAUCACCCCCCAGUUCAGAUCGGAGGCUGCAACUCGCCUCCGUGAAGUUGGAAUCGCUAGUAAUCGCGGAUCAGCUACGCCGCGGUGAAUGUGUUCCCGGGCCUUGUACACACCGCACGA